AAGAAGUAUAAAAGUGACGGGAGUUUCGUUGUUCACCAUUAUCUCUAAAAAUAAAUAAAAGUAAAUUAGGAUCACACGUUUUAUUCAUUUGAAGUAGGAAGAAUCCAAGUCGACGUGUCAUUGUAUGAGUUGAAUAUUCAACCUGUGCCACUACUUCCUUUUAAAUUUUAGUUUUAUUUCUCUAUUUUCUGAUAUCCAUCUUUCAUUUCACCGGAGAGAAACAAACAAUGACGGCGAAUCUCCUCCGAUUCUCCAUCUCACACGAUCACAACCUCACUUCCACCUUCCUUCACCAACGACGCCGCAUCAACGGCAAUGAACGACGCCGUACUAGUAGUAGUAGUCAGCUACUGCUGCGUCGCAAUGCCGUAUUCGCAAAGGCGAACACAACUGAGCAGUUGAAGAAAGACGAAUCGACAACGACCGCGCUACUGGAUGUGAGCGGGAUGAUGUGCGGCGCGUGUGUCUCACGGGUCAAGUCGAUCUUAUCAACCGACGAGCGCGUCGACUCAGCUGUAGUCAACAUGUUGACGGAAACAGCUGCGGUUAAGUUGAAACCGGAGAGCGGUUUAACGGCUGAAGAGUUGGCUAAGAGGUUAACGGAAUGCGGUUUCCCGACGAGCAAAAGGUCGUCAGGGUUAGGAGUGGAAGCGAAGGUGAACAAGUGGAAGGAAACAGUGAAGAAAAAGGAAGCAUUGCUUGUUCACAGUCGAAAUCGAGUGGCUUUUGCUUCGACUUUAGUUGCUUUAUGCUGUGGAACUCAUGCUACUCAUAUUUUCCACUCUCUUGGCAUUCAUAUUCACGGUCCAAUGUUGGAUGUACUGCACAAUUCUUAUGUCAAGGCUGGAUUGGCAAUAGGGGCUUUGUUUGGACCUGGACGAGACCUGCUCUUUGAUGGUCUUCGGGCGUUUGCAAAGGGAUCACCAAAUAUGAACUCUCUUGUUGGCUUUGGAUCGAUUGCUGCUUUUGCAAUUAGUUCUCUUCUUCUCUUUCUUAGGUCUCACUACUUAACCCUGAUCUUCAAUGGGGAGCAUCAUUUUUCGAUGAGCCGUAUGCAGGUCAUGCUUCUUGGGUUUGUAUUACUAGGGCGUUCCUUGGAGGAAAGGGCAAGGCUGAAAGCAUCUAGUGACAUGAAUGAGCUAUUAUCGCUUAUAUCUACUCAAUCUAGACUUGUAAUUACUUCCUCCGGCAGUGGUUCCUCGACUGAUGUUGUCGGUUCUGAUGCAAUAUGUAUUGAGGUUCCAACUGAUGAUAUUCGAGUUGGUGAUUCUUUGCUCGUUUUGCCUGGAGAAACUAUACCUGUAGAUGGAAGAGUCGUUGCAGGUCGAAGUGUUGUGGAUGAAUCUAUGCUUACGGGAGAGUCUCUUCCGGUAUUUAAGGAGAAGGGUGUGCCUGUCUCAGCUGGUACAAUAAACUGGGACAGCCCUUUGAGGAUUGAGGCCUCUUCCACUGGUUCCAACUCAACAAUUUCCAAGAUUGUUAACAUGGUUGAGGAUGCUCAAGGCCGUGAAGCACCAAUUCAGCGACUAGCAGAUACAAUUGCGGGGCCAUUUGUUUACAGUGUGAUGACAUUAUCAGCUGCAACAUUUGGGUUCUGGUAUUAUGUUGGGUCGCAUAUCUUCCCAGAUGUUCUAUUGAAUGAUAUUGCCGGACCAGAAGGAGAUCCUUUGCUUCUGAGCCUGAAGCUUGCUGUAGAUGUAUUGGUUGUCUCCUGCCCUUGUGCUUUAGGCCUUGCCACACCAACUGCAAUUCUGGUUGGAACCUCACUAGGAGCAAGACAAGGACUUCUUAUCAGAGGAGGAGAUGUACUGGAACGCUUGGCCAGUGUGGAUCAUGUUAUGCUGGACAAGACAGGAACUCUGACUGAAGGAAAACCUGCUGUCUCUGCUAUCGUGUCAUUGGGCCAUGAGGAAUUAGAGAUUCUUCAACUAGCCGCUGCAGUAGAGAAAACCGCAUCACACCCCAUUGCUCAUGCUAUUAUAAGCAAAGCAGAAUCAUUAAAUUUGAGUAUCCCGGUCACAAGUGGGCAAUUGGCUGAACCUGGCUCUGGAACCAUGGCAGAAGUAAAUGGGCUCUUGGUCGCAAUUGGAAAGCUGAAAUGGGUUCAAGAACGUUUCCAGCAAAAAGCAGACCUAUCUAAUUUGAUGACUCUUGAGCAAUCUGUGAUGCAUAAAUCAUUGAAGGAUAUUCAAUCAUCUAACCAUUCAACAACAGUUGUAUACAUUGGUCGGGAGGGAGAGGGUGUGAUUGGGGCCAUUGCGAUAUCUGAUAGAUUACGUGAGGAUGCUGAGUCCACAAUAAGAAGGCUUCAGCAUAAGGGAAUUGAAACAGUACUGUUAUCGGGAGACAGGGAAGAGGCAGUUGCAACCGUAGCAAAGACAGUUGGCAUAAAAGACAAAUUUGUCAAUGCAUCCUUAACACCCCAGCAGAAAUCUGCUGCCAUUUCAGGUCUUCAAGCUUCAGGCCACCACGUCGCCAUGGUUGGUGAUGGCAUUAAUGAUGCACCUUCUCUUGCUCUUGCUGAUGUGGGGAUUGCUUUGCAAGUUGAAGGACAGGAAACUGCUGCCUCAAAUGCAGCAUCCAUUAUACUCCUUGGGAAUAGACUUUCACAGGUGCCGGAAGCUCUUGAUCUUGCACGGGCAACAAUGGCAAAAGUUCAUCAAAAUUUGUCUUGGGCAGUUGCAUAUAAUUUUGUUGCCAUUCCCAUUGCAGCUGGAGUACUACUUCCAAAUUUUGAUUUUGCAAUGACACCAUCUCUUUCAGGAGGGUUAAUGGCUAUGAGCUCAAUAUUUGUCGUCACCAACUCACUGUUACUACAGUUCCACGGUUCUCAAAAGAAAAGAAAAGAGAAUCUUUACCUAUAAGCAUGCCCAAAUGGAGCCAUAACUCCUACCUCAUCCAAACCAUGGAAUUGGCAUUUGGUCUACUGACUCCAACUUGGUUUGAGCCACCAAUUCGAAUGUCGGCUGAGGAGGGUCAUAACCGUACAGUGCCUUGAAAGGGGUCAUACCAAUUGCUGAUUGAAAGUUGGUGUUGUACCAAAAUUCGGCUAAUGGCAACCAUUUGCACCACUCCUUGGGUUUAUGGCUCGUCAUACACCUUAGAUAAACCUCGAGACAACGAUUCAACCUCUCCGUUAGUCCAUCGGUUUGUGGGUGAUAUGAAGAGCUAAGUUUCAGCUGCACUUGCAAUGCUUUGAAAAGUUCCUGCCAAAAUAGACUAACAAAAAUAGGAUCACGAUCAGAAACAAUUGAACAUGGCACUCCAUGUAAUUUAACAAUGUUAUCCAGGAAGAACUGAGCCAAUUGACUCGCCGUAUAGGGAUGAGCUAUGGCCAAGAAAUGGCCAUACUUGGUGUAUCGAUCAACCACUACCCAAAUCAUAUUUUUUCCCUUGUGAUUUUGGCAAGCCCUCAAUGAAA